UACGAAGGGUGCAAGCGUUACUCGGAAUUACUGGGCGUAAAGGGUGCGUAGGUGGUCGUUUAAGUCCGUUGUGAAAUCCCUGGGCUCAACCUGGGAAUGGCAGUGGAUACUGGACGGCUAGAAUGCGGUAGAGGGUAGUGGAAUUCCCGGUGUAGCAGUGAAAUGCGUAGAGAUCGGGAGGAACACCAGUGGCGAAGGCGGCAUCCUGGACUGGUCCUGACACUCCGGAGCGAAAGCGUGGGGAGCGAUCCGG
rnacentral:rRNA from 1 species